rnacentral:rRNA from 1 species
CCUACGGGAGGCAGCAGUGGGGAAUAUUGCGCAAUGGGCGAAAGCCUGACGCAGCGACGCCGCGUGAGGGAUGACGGUCUUCGGAUCGUAAACCUCUGUCAGCAGGGAAGAACGGUCACUGUGCUAAUCAGCAGUGAAUUGACGGUACCUGCAAAUGCAGCACCGGCUAACUCGGUGCCAGCAGCCGCGGUAAUACGGAGGGUGGGAGCGUUAAUCGGAAUUACUGGGCGUAAAGCGCUCGUAGGCGGUAUGUCAAGUCAAGGGUGAAGUCCCCGCGAUAAACGUGGGAACUGCCUUUGAAACUGGCAAACUAGAGUGUGUGAGAGGAUAGUGGAAUUCCAGGUGUAGGAGUGAAAUCCGUAGAUAUCUGGAGGAACAUCAGUGGCGAAGGCGACUAUCUGGCACAUAACUGACGCUGAGGAGCGAAAGCGUGGGUAGCAAACAGGAUUAGAUACCCCUGUAGUC